UCUGGUAAUUGUGGGAAAGCCGCCGCGGUAAUACGGAGGAUGCGAGCGUUAUCCGGAUUUAUUGGGUUUAAAGGGAGCGCAGACGGGUCGUUAAGUCAGCUGUGAAAGUUUGGGGCUCAACCUUAAAAUUGCAGUUGAUACUGGCGUCCUUGAGUGCGGUUGAGGUGUGCGGAAUUCGUGGUGUAGCGGUGAAAUGCUUAGAUAUCACGAAGAACUCCGAUUGCGAAGGCAGCACACUAAGCCGUAACUGACGUUCAUGCUCGAAAGUGUGGGUAUCAAACAGG
rnacentral:rRNA from 1 species